UUUUUUUUUUUUUUCGGUUGGUUAUUAGCAAAUGUCAUAUGUAUUCUGCAGUAAGCCUGCAGUUGCUGCCCAAAGAGAUGAGAAAAUCCAAAGGAUUUAUUUCCCCUGAAGGCUCCUGUUCCUGGCAGAAAACAAACCUGUGUUUUCCAAGACUUUAGCUGCACAAGAACUCCUACCCUCUUAGUCUAAUCUGUUUUAUCUGCUGUGAGACACUCUGUGUAUUUAUAUACUGAGCAACUGCAGGACAUCAGUUUCCAUUCUUAUCAAACACAAAUAUUUACCUGAUCCAAGGUCUCUUGAGAUACUUGACACACUUAAACAUACAGUUUAACUAGAGAAAUCUUUUUCCCUCAGUUUAAUUUUAGUUGGGUUUCAGGGUAUUUUCUUAGCACCUAAGUAUUUUUUUAAAUGAAGGAAUACUCCAACACUUUACUGCUUUGCUUUACUCACCAACUCAGCUCUGUAGACACCUUAAUAUGCUUUCUCAGCUGCAAUCUCUGUCAAUAAGGAAACUAGGAAUUGUUUUGACAUUAAUUGUCCAUGAGGAAUUGAAACAAAGAAGUCAAUUAACAGUUCAUAUUAUUUAAAUUUAAUGGAGACAUUCAAUUAAAAAAUAUCACGUGGUGUGGCGCAGCAGUCAAUGGAUUUCUGUUUACUUCUGUGAGCAUCUUCAGUGUAAAAGGGGGCAAGAAGAGAAGUCCUGCAGGUUGCCAGAUAAAGGAAUUCAGGUGAGAGGAACUAUUUCUGUGCUAAAAAAUGUGGGGAAUUUGGAGGGUCAUGAGGCUUUUGAGCCUUGCCCUUUGCAAACCAUGAACUCAAGAUCAGGAGUAUUGAUUUUACCUCUUCCUCUCCAAUUUUGUGUGUAACUUCAAAUAGCAUCAACUGACAUCCCCUUUUCCCAUCCCUAGCAGGGAUUAAGGUGAUAAUCUGGGUUAAAACAACUCUCCUCCAAACACCCACUCCCUGAUUUAGCAGCCUUGUUUCCCACACUGUCCUAAGGAAAGGUGUCCGUGUGUUCAGAGUGGGGACAGCACCCCGGGGUUUUGCAGGACAUCACCUCCCAGGUGUUCCAGAUAACAUCCUGCAGGGCUGAUCAGGAGAGGACACAGACAUGAACAAAAUGGCAAAAGCAAACCAACACAAUUACUAAUAAAAAAAAAAAAGUGAAAACACAUAAAUAUCAACAUAUAAAUAGUUCAUUUUGUUUGCAGUAAUGAGAUUUAACAAGAGUGUGCAUUGGCAUUGAGCCAGCUCAGCCAACUGUUGAAUUUAUUCUCUGAGAGAUUGUUUUUAAGUCCAAAAUUCACUGGUGUGCCCAGUGUGCACACUGGCCCAGUCCCUGAACUCCGGGACAGGCAGGUUAGCUGUUUCAGGCAACAGUAACAACGUGGAUCUCCUUGUCACAGGAGGCAGGGGAGUCCUUCUUGCACCUGCAGUGCAAUUUAGGAGUGCAGCAAAGCACUACAGACAUGAGCAACCCCAAAGUAAGCAGGAGGCAAAUUACCCACUUCACUCUCCCUGAGUACAUAAAGGGCAGGAUGAGCAUGGCGAGGAUCACCCCCAGCAGCAGGAGCAGCAGGAGUCUCUGCACAGCCUGGCUGCUGUGUGCCGGGCUGUUUUCCUCCGUGUUCAAAAUGUCCUGGCUGCUCCGAGUCCAGCUGUUGCCAUCCAGCCCCAUGGCACAGAUGUACACCUCAGGGUUUGAAUCAAGGUUCUCCAAGCGCUCCAGGAUGUCUUCUUUAUUCUGGAGCGUGCGGAUGAGCCCUCCUGACACCAAGGUGGGUUUUCUGCAAAGAGGGCAGGUGAUUGUCCAGGUGUUCUCCUCUUUCCUGAGGAUCAGCUUGAGGCAGACGGCACAGAAGGUGUGCUGGCAGUCCAGGAGCUUUGGGACUCUGUAGAUGCUGUACUUGUUGAAGCAGAUCAUGCAGUCCAUGUCCAGGGUGGCUGUGUCUGAGCACUGGUGGUUCAGUUCCAACGUGCUCAUUUCGGGAGAGUUUGUGUCCAUUAGCACAGCAAGUGGCCUUGAGUUUGGAGAGUCUUGUUCCAAAACUGCUGGUUUAAAGGCAGCAGGAUUGUCUCUCUCUGUUCCUGAAGGCCUCUCCAUUUCUUCAGUGCACUCUUCAGUGAAUCCCACUCUCUUCUCACGUUUUGAGUUUUGUGUUACGGAUCCUGCUCCGCUCAUUUCUGCAGCACCUCCUGCCACGGGCGCUGCACCGUCUGCCUCAGCUUGCAGUACUCCGGGAGCUGAGGAGCUGUUUUCCUUGUUUGGCUUGUCAGUGGAUUUCUCCAUGGAGAUAAACCUCAGCACAGCUUGUCUCCCCUUAGCUGAAGGAUUUCCCGAGCCUCUGGCUCCUUUUAUGUGUUGCUGUAUUCCUGUUGUAUGCUUGAUUGAUUAGUGAGAGCCUUAAGCGAGUCAAGCUCUUACAAUAUGAUGUUUUUAUGACAUGGGGACCAGAGUUAAUGAUUGACUUCCCAGCCAAGACAGUUUACAAGGACUGAUAAUAUCAGUGGGCAAUUCCUGUCCGGAAGCAGACUCCAUGCUAUUAGCAGACCACUCUGACAGCAAGACACCACCAUUGUUAUUAAAUUAGAACUCUCUUAGAUGAAAGCAAUUUCAUUGUUCUCCAAACAGUGCUCUGCUAGACAGUGCCAGGCUUGGGGGAAUUACCUGUUUCUGACAUUGGAUGCAGAAUGCAGUGCUUUGGUUAAAGCAUAUGUAUCAUCAGUUUUGUGCUCUCUGGGUAGGAAGUUUGCUCUUGGUGUAGAAAUACUUACUACCAUACAGUACCAAGUGAAGAAUGAGAUUGAAAUUAUUAAUUUGAUUGUUGAAUGUCCAGUUGUUGUUAGCUCUUUUAUCCCAGGGUAUCUCUUUUUUCAGCCUAGGUUAACUCCUUUGUCCUGUUUGUUUUAGUAAUCAGAAGGUUUUUAGUACAAACUGAAGCACGACUGAGGCCCACACAGGGUCUCUGAGAGUCCAUGAGGAAACUAAAAGCAAGACCAGUGUCCCAGAUGGUGGGACCAUCUUCUUUGUUUGUUCACUUGUGCACUUGGGAAUGCCCUUCUUGAGUGAUUUUGUGAAUAUUCAUCUGAUCUGAAAAAAAUAACUGAACAAAAUCCCUCAGUCUGUAAUUUCUUUCUGCCUUUUUAUUUGAGGAGUAAAAUACAGAUGGUUUCUCAGCAAGAAUCCCAUGGAAGGAAGGAACGAAAGAAGGAAGGGAAAAACCACCAAUCCCAAAAAGCCAGAUGAGGUCCGUGUUAGCAGCAGAAGACACACAGUACCACACUGGUAGCCUCCAGUGCUCCUGCAUGUUCACACUGCCUGUGCCCCCAAGUCCCAGCCCCUCCCUCCCGGAGAGGAGCAGCAGAAAGAAAUGAAACAACUGCAGAUGAGGAGGACAGGGAGUUCAGGAAGGCUCUAAUCUCAUGAACUCACUGGAGGGGGAUGAGGUGGGAAGAAUUUGUUCUUAUUUGCUGAGAAAUAGAAGGUUUGUCGUAAGCAAACUUCGUCAAAGGGCCUGAGCACUGCUGCAUUUCUGCUGAUGUGGCAUGUUGUGGUGCUUGAUGGACUUUUGGAUGACCCCAAAUUGUAGGAGCCUGAAUAUCUCUCAGUUUCAGAAGCUGGUAUCAAAGUGCGGAAAUGUCUGGAAGUGGGCUGGUGAACUGCAAGACUCAUUUAUCUUUAAAAAGAAAAUGUUCUUUUGCAUUUCAUAUAACUCUUUGUCAGCAAGUCCAUGCUGCUAAAAAAGAUCUGGGAAAGUAGAAAACAGACUGCCCCCUAUUACAAUAGUUUAGAAGCUUCAAAUUUGCUCUGUCAGUUCCCAUAUCCAAAAUGGAAAUGUCUUAAAAUCUCCUGAUUCCUAAUUACUAGAACAAUAUAAAAAUACCUUGCAGAUGUUGGAAGUUGGAACAGACACCAAGAGGGACAACUCCACUCCUAACAUAAAAAGUUUUAAAUUAGUUGGGAUGAAUCUAUGCUCCAUGUCUAACUGCUCUGUGUCCUACCAGUGGGUGGAGGUGACUUGUCUGUGUCUCUUGUCUUGUGUGCUGGAAAAAGUUUUUUGUUGUCCUCCACUGACAAAGUUUUCAGCCAAGCCCUGAUUCCAGCUCCACUUUGUCUCUGGUGUCACAAGUGAUGCUCCCUGGCUGGCACGUGCCUUCUGCUUUUCUGAACUGCUCCCAGCCCGUUAAUGCUCCUCUGGCUAAUUACUGCCUCAUUAAUCAUUUGCAAUCCGUUUAUGUACUCACGCUGUUUUCCCGCUUUUAGUGUGUUUGCAUAACAAAAUGCGUUUCUGUGAAAUGCUUUGUAUGGAAUUGUUUAUAGCAGGAAAUAGAUAUAAAAGAAGAGUUGUGUCAUUCCUAGUAAAAAUCCUCAUGUGCCAGAAGCCAAACAUCCCAGAAGAUACUGGGGAUACUCCUGUGAGCUCCUCCCUGUGCUGAGCUGUGGUUCAGCUUCUCCUGACUCUG
rnacentral:lncRNA from 1 species